rfam:Takifugu rubripes genomic scaffold, scaffold_144
AAAAUCACCCAAACACUGGCACUGACUUGUAAUUAGUAAAUAGGGUAAGUGCUAUUUGUUGGGGUAGUUUUA